ACCACAUAACAUCACAUCAUCUUUUUGCUUACUGGAGGAGCCACCAAGAACAACUCAGAUGGCUAAUAAUGCUGAUGACUGAAGACUUCUAUAAACUCCACAAAGUGAUGGUGGACUCCGUGACUUUGGCGUGGGUGGAAGGCGGCGGGCAGCUCAACCGUCAGUAAGCCGCCACGCUUCCCACUAACAGGUAGGUCAUUCCACCUUCUCCUUGUAAUUCGCCAUUUUUAAGUGAUUUGACCUAAUUAAUAGUUUGAUUGUGCAAGUGUUAAAGUAAAGUAGUUAAUGUGCUUUGAGUGAAGUAUUUUACGUCCUUAAUGUAUGUCCCUUUGAAACGUUGAGGUUCGUUAUAAACUGUGAGUAAGCUGCCACACUUCCCACCCACAGGUCCCUAUCGCAGCCUAGGCCGUGUCUGUAGCGUGGAUGACGCAUCCACUAGUCUGGGGAGAUGUCUGAGGUCCAGUGGAGUCGGGUGUCCCCGUUAACCUCAACCGUCAGAAGCUCCACUACCACCCAUGGGCCCCAAGUUGUCGAGGGGGACCCUUGAGCCAUGCUGAGGGAGGGAAAGUCUAGAGACAGAUGAUGUACUUGAAGACCAACUUAGAGGAAGCAACAGAACGAACCUUGAGCAAGAUGUAACACACCACACGUUAAUUCGACCUCUCCAGUGGUUGGUGUACAAGAAGUGAAACCAAAGACGGCCAGAUGACCACAGCGAGUGUUCCCACAACUGUACUGUCUACCAGCCCACACCUUCAAGACUACCACCUUAACCACAAACUUUUUUAUACAAUUGAGAAUUGAGAAAUUUUUUAAAGUACAGCAAAGUAAUAGUACAUUUAAGAAAGUAUAAGUAAGCCUUGAGUCAAGCCACACAGCUUAAGAAAAAGUUAGAUAUAUUAUGUAAUGGUUGGCACUUGUAUUGAGAUUAUGAUGAGUUGGCCCUCAUUAUACAAUAUCUGUACAUAAUCAAAUAAACACUGAGUAAAUUUGACCUCUUUUAUACUCCAAUUUUGGAAAAGUAUAAUAAUAAUAAUCUUGUAAACUGAACUUGAAACAUGAAGGUAACAUAAACUGUAUAUGGAUCCUAUCUGAUGUCAACAUGAUAGCCCAUGCAUACUUAUCACUAAUUGACAUUCAAGUGCUAACCAAAGUAGAACUGUUAUAAACUUGUGCCCAUGUGAUGACCUAUUGGGUAUGCAUAAUCAAAACUAAAGAUAACAGGACUGUACCUACAGAUGGCAUUGCAAUAUCUCAAUUUAGUGUAGCUAUUACAAGAUGUACAUCAUCAAAAAUACAUCUUUAUGAUGGUGUUAGACAAUGACACCUCGGGCGAAGGGUUGACAACCUCACCGAGACAACAGGUAUCGGUGUUUAUUUUGAAAUUAAUCGGCCAUGUCCGUAAAGAUAAGGUUUUGAUUGUGUACAUAGUUAUUUUGAACGUAAUGUAUACAUAGUAAAGUACAGUAGGGAUUUUAAUUACUGAGUGAUGACAUUCUGGACACCACACCCAUUGUUGGAAGUCGGUUUUGCCAAAAAAUUUAGAAAAGAUAUCCUUGUUAAUUAUAGAUCAAAUUAUAAAUUAACUGCAUGACAAAAUGUUAAGUUGAAGACCUUGAAAUCCAACUGUAAUGUUUAAAAUUGUAAGGUUUUGAAAUGAAAUAAUUUGAAUUUGACCUAAAGUACAGUAUAGUGGGUGUUGGUGGUACAGUGGUAGGCUCUCUCUCAACCUUGUCCUGGGCCCAAACUCUAGCCUGGGACAGAUGUGAGAAGGGUGUUGAAUGGUGUAAAAUUGGCAAAUAUCACACCCACACACUCCCAAAUCUCAGUAUAGGUACUCCUGAACAUGCUGCUUAAGGAUCUGUUAACCAAAAUUUGAUAUCUGGAUUAU